UUUUACUUUUCUAGCAAGUCGCAUUAAGCAAUUUGUUUGACCAUGUUAUGAGGAACCGUUCCUUCAUUGCCACAUCUAACUGUUCUACUUUGUUUCACGUUGUACAGAUUUAACUUUCCAGAGUUUAGAUUCAUUAGUUGUUUUGUGAGUUUUGCAGAGAAUAUAACUCUUCCUUCGAUUCAACGCUUUCUUCCUCUUUUGUCACCUUACAUGGAAGCAAAAUCAUAAGGAGCUGAUUUGGUGGGUGGAGAGGAUCUGAUAGAACAGAUAAAAGCAGGGUUCGUGGAGUUUGAUUAACUAAUUGCUUCUCCAGGAGAAAAAACUCAUGGUUCUUGGCACAACAAGUGAAGUAGAUUUCUUGUAAAUGAAUUUCUUCACGAGCAUCACUAUAGUGUUACUCAUCAAUUUGAUGUCUCUCAUGACAUUCAAAACAGUGUUGAGGGGAAAAUAAAGAAGACAAUGGACAAGGCCUUUUGGGAUGGUAUCAUGGAAAAUGAAGCAGGUGAAAAAAGGCCUGCAUCAUAUUCUUCCAAAGACAUGGGUGGUCAAUUAUGAAAUUUAUCCCUUAUGGUACGAUAUAUGCAGGAAUAUGUGUUGUAUAACUUGAUUUGUAAUAUUGGAGUAGGGAAUUAAGUAUAUAUAGAUGCGGACAAAGGUAAUAAAAUCAUUGAAUGUAACUAUUAAAUCAUAACUACAUAUAUGUAUAUAUACCUUGUAUGUGUGAA